rnacentral:rRNA from 1 species
ACGGUCCUAAGGUAGCGAAAUUCCUUGUCGGGUAAGUUCCGACCCGCACGAAUGGCGUAACGACUUGUGAGCUGUCUCAACAGGAGGCCCGGUGAAAUUGAAGUAUGUGUGAAGAUGCACAUUACCCGCGACUGGACGGAAAGACCCCGUAGAGCUUUACUGUAACCUGACAUUGGAUCUUGAUAACGGAUGCACAGGAUAGGUGGGACGCUGGGAGACGAGGACUUUGGUUUUCGUGGAGCGGCCGUUGGGAUACCACUCUUCUGUUAUUGAGAUUCUAACCUCAAGCCGUGAGCCGGAUGAGAGACAGUGUCAGGCGGACAGUUUGACUGGGGCGGUCGCCUCCGAAAGAGUAACGGAGGCGCCCAAAGGUACCCUCAGAAUGGAUGGAAACCAUUCGAAGAGAGCAAAGUCAGAAGGGUGCUUGACUGCGAGACCAACAAGUCGAGCAGGUACGAAAGUAGGGCUUAGUGAUCCGGCGGUAAGAGAGUGGAAUUGCCGUCGCUCAACGGAUAAAAGCUACCUCGGGGAUAACAGGCUGAUCUCCCCCAAGAGUUCACAUCGACGGGGAGGUUUGGCACCUCGAUGUCGGCUCAUCGCAUCCUGGAGCUGAAGUCGGUUCCAAGGGUUGGGCUGUUCGCCCAUUAAAGCGGUACGCGAGCUGGGUUCAGAACGUCGUGAGACAGUUCGGUCCCUAUCUGUCGUGGGCGCAGGAAAUUUGAGAAGAGCUGUCCUCAGUACGAGAGGACCGGGAUGGACGCAUCAAUGGUGGACCAGUUGUCACGCCAGUGGCAUAGCUGGGUAGCUAAAUGCGGAAGGGAUAAACGCUGAAGGCAUCUAAGUGUGAAACCCACUUCAAGAUGAGAUUUCCCAUUGCGCAAGCAAGUAAGACCCCUUAAAGACGAUAAGGUAGAUAGGUCAGGAGUGUAAGCAUGGUGACAUGUUCAGCGGACUGAUACUAAUAGGUCGAGGACUUAACCUA